GUCUGUGGCUGUACCCCCUUGAACAGCCAAACUCAUCUAAUCGUGGAAGCUAAGCAGGGUCAGGCCUGGUUCAGGGUUUGGAUGGGAGACUGAAGAACAAGAAGCCUAGCGAUU
rnacentral:rRNA from 1 species